UACAGAGGUGGCAAGCGUUGUUCGGAAUUACUGGGCGUAAAGGGCGCGUAGGCGGCCGCCUAAGUCAGACGUGAAAUCCCCAGGCUUAACCUGGGAACUGCGUCUGAUACUGGGUGGCUUGAGUUCGGGAGAGGAAUGUGGAAUUCCAGGUGUAGCGGUGAAAUGCGUAGAUAUCUGGAGGAACACCGGUGGUGUAGACGGCUUUCUGGACCGUAACUGACGCUGAGACACGAAAGCGUGGGUAGCAAACAGG
rnacentral:rRNA from 1 species